rnacentral:rRNA from 1 species
AUUGAACGCUGGCGGCAGGCCUAACACAUGCAAGUCGAACGGUAACAGGAAACUUCUUGCUGUUUCGCUGACGAGUGGCGGACGGGUGAGUAAUGUCUGGGAAACUGCCUGAUGGAGGGGGAUAACUACUGGAAACGGUAGCUAAUACCGCAUAACGUCGCAAGCCCAAAGAGGGGGACCCUCGGGCCUCUUGCCGUCGGAUGUGCCCAGAUGGGAUUAGCUUGUUGGUGGGGUAACGUCUCACCAAGGCGACGAUCCCUAGCUGGUCUGAGAGGAUGACCAGCCACACUGGAACUGAGACACGGUCCAGACUCCUACGGGAGGCAGCAGUGGGGAAUAGUGCACAAUGGGCGCAAGCCUGAUGCAGCCAUGCCGCGUGUAUGAAGAAGGCCUUCGGGUUGUAAAGUACUUUCAGCGGGGAGGAAGGGAGUAAAGUUAAUACCUUUGCUCAUUGACGUUACCCGCAGAAGAAGCACCGGCUAACUACGUG